CCGGGUGAGUAACACGUGACUAACCUACCCUUGAGUGGGGAAUAACCUUCCGAAAGGAGGGCUAAUACCGCAUAACAUCGCGAGGCGAGAUUCCUUGUGAUCAAAGGAGCAAUUCGCUUAAGGAGGGGCUCGCGGCUGAUUAGCUAGUUGGUGAGGUAACGGCUCACCAAGGCGAUGAUCAGUAUCCGGCCUGAGAGGGCGCACGGACACACUGGAACUGAAACACGGUCCAGACUCCUACGGGAGGCAGCAGUGGGGAAUUUUGCGCAAUGGGGGAAACCCUGACGCAGCAACGCCGCGUGGAGGAUGAAGGUCUUUGGAUUGUAAACUCCUGUUGCCCGGGACGAAUC
rnacentral:rRNA from 1 species